UCUGGUGAAAUAGUGGAGGGCAGUUCAGUGACUCUGACCUGCAGCAGUGAUGGAAACCCACCUGAGAAGAACUACACUUGGUUUAAAGAAGGUGGAACCUCACCUGUAGGAUCUGGACAGAAUUAUAGCUUCAGCCUAAACCCCAGAAGUGAUGGGUUGUACUACUGCGAGGCUCAGAAUGAAUAUGGAUCUCUAAGAUCAGCUUCAGUGCCUGUUGUUUUAAAUGGUCAAUCCCUGAGUCUGUAUGUAACUACUGUUGUUGGAUUUUGUGGAGUUGUGGCUCUUCUUGUUAUAGGUUUCUGUUCAAGGUGUAAGAGGCAGAGGCAGAACAGAAAGACAGACGAUCAUGACUUUCAGAAUGCUGACCCUACUGCUGAAGAGGACACAUACACAGCUCUUGACCUGAAAACCAUUACUAAUGAUAAUGUGUAUGAAAUCCUAAGAAACAUUCAUCCUAGUCCUCCUGCUGAUACAUGCAUAUCGGGCUGCUCGGAAUACGGGAAUGUUGCAACUUUGAAAACCAUGACCAACACCAAUUGACCCUGACACAAGAGAUCCCCAACUACUGUUGUCAUGCUACUUGACCUUCAUCUUACCUUUUAUCGCUGUUGAAACUGAGCUUUGCAUGUUAAACAGGCAGCUUUGAACUUUACACACAGGUAGAAGAACUGCUCAAGCUUUGUGCCUGAACAGGGACCAAAAUGUCAAAUCAAAGACUAGGGAUGACUGUCUUUGUCCUGGAUAUUGGCCACCCUGGAAAGUUUACAUCCAACACACUUGGCUUUAACUGAAGUUUGGGGGGAGGAGCAUGGCUGAAACCCCUCCUUCUUCCAAUCUAAUGCCCAAUAAAUUUACAUUCUCACCUUCCAUUCCUGUGAUGAAGUGCUUGCAAUCCCAAUCUCCUCCCUGUUCCUCAGUUCAGCAUCAGUCCUACUACACCUAUGAGGGGGAUCUGGCCUUCUAGCUACAGACAGAUGCUGCCCAGACCUCCAGCCUAAGUUCUCAGUCCCCCUCCCCCCUUCCAUCAAUCUUCUCUCAUACCACUACAUGCUGAAGACAUGGUCUGAGCUCACAAAUGUUCAGACGAUCCUGAAGGACCUCAUUACCUGGAGCAGGCAUGCUAGACUAGAGCUGAAGCUCAACUCAGCAGUGUGGUAGAUUCAGAGAGGACCAGACCCGAGUUUCCCAGGUUUACAUGUUAUUGAAGCUGACGUAUGAGAACAUAAACAGGUGAAUGCUGUCUAGUGGAAAGUAGCUUCCUAACACAUCUAUACUGAAAUAUUCCAUUGAAUAUGAAACCAACUACAACUGGAGCCUGUGCCAUCAUAUUCCUGUGUGUAACUUCUCUU